rnacentral:rRNA from 1 species
CAGUCGCCGCGGUAAUACCGAGGGUGCGAGCGUUAAUCGGAUUUACUGGGCGUAAAGCGUGCGUAGGCGGCUAAUUGAGUCGGAUGUGAAAUCCCCGAGCUUAACUUGGGAAUUGCAUUCGAUACUGGUUAGCUAGAGUGUGGGAGAGGAUGGUAGAAUUCCAGGUGUAGCGGUGAAAUGCGUAGAGAUCUGGAGGAAUACCGAUGGCGAAGGCAGCCAUCUGGCCUAACACUGACGCUGAGGUACGAAAGCAUGGGGAGCAAACAGGAUUAGAUACCCCCGUAGUCCCUGUCUCUUAUAC